CAGUGCCAGAGUCAUGCCAGCAAGAAUUGUUCUCUCGCCCCAGCUUCACUACAGAAAUAAGAGUCCCCCAUGCUGGUCCUCUCAGGCCAUCUGGAGUUGGGAAAAGCAGACGGAAGCAAGGCCAGGCCCCCUGUUGUCGGUCUGUAAGCAACGGCCAUUUGAAGUUGAGCCAGGGAGUAGGAGCCAGACAGCGGGCUGGCUAGUGUCUGGGCUUGGUCUGUCUGGAGGAGGGGCUAAGGGAAGGCCAGGCCGGGCUCGACUCUUUUUGGCAGCAACACAGCCGAGGGAACUUAGCAUGAGAAGGCAGUCAAGGUGCUCAAGUUACAUAGCUGCUGCUUGAGGGGUUCUGCUGCACGUCAUCCUCACUUAAGGACCCAGGCAGACGGGCAGAGUUUCUAG